CCACCUCCCCACUUCCAAAGGGGCAGAGGGGCUGGAGACUGGGUUAUAAACACUCGAGGGGAAGCCGAGCAGGGCACACGGGGCCCCAGGCAGAUGGACAGGGACGUGUGGGGAGGCCCAGGUCCAGGGAGCCAGGAUACCCUGCGCCCGGCCCCACCCUGGGCCCCAUGGCUCUCCUAUGGGACUGCUCCUGACCUCAUCCUUCACAGCACCCACUAAGGGCCGAGAAACAUUGUCUAGUUCUGAGUGGUUCACUCGUGAGUUCUCAAAAAGGUAAGGAGGGGGCCACAGGGACCCGAGAUUGUGGUCGCCUGGACAGACACAUGAGCAGACAGGCGACGCGCUUGUGGCUGGUGCCUGCAAUGGGCUGGAGCCUCUGACCUGCAACACCUGUGUUCACCUGCGUGCUUCGUGUCAGGACAGUGACCCAGCUAGCGCUGGAGAACAGCGGGUGCUGGGAAAGACCACAUGCUUGGCGUCAGAAAUGAUCCCAGAAAACGCACACCUGUGGUUAGUGACACGGACUACAUCACAGGAGAGAAGGGAAUUCCAGGUGCUGGAUGACAGGUGUGAACGUCUCAAUGCUGAGACUUAAGUGAUUAGGUUUAAGACUGGGAAAAGAAGGCUACAGAAUCUGUAUGUUGCUAAAAAUGGCUGCAUUCAAUGAACAACUCUCAAUGCAGAAGAACACAGGAAGUAGCAUUCAAAGUGGGUCUGUUUGCUUCCCAAACCACAAGCGCCUAAGAGGAAGUUCAGAUCAAAGCAACCCAGAGCUGCUCAGUGAACAGUCAGCGACGGCUGAUCCCGAGCCAGUAACGUCCCUAAAGACAAAGCAGCUACACCUGCGUGGGAACUCGUGCGCGGGAGGGGACUCGAUCUUACCGGAAGCUCUCAGAAACGCACUGGAGCACACACAGAGAACAAAUUGCUUCAUUCCUCCGAGUGGAAGCUUCUUCAGUUUGCUCAGAUGACAGAGCCUGUAAAUGGGAGAGGGAGCCCUGGAACCCAAGUCCUGCUCAAUGCACCUCAAAGGACUCUCCCCUUAUUCCAAUGCUGCUGAGCUUGGUGAGAAAAUGCUGCUGACAGAUGAGGCUGAAGUCACUCAGGUAAGACUUCCUGGAGGCUCUUUCUCCUCCGCGUUUCUCAACCUUGGCCCUAAUGACGCUGUGACCACACAACUCUGCAUCACCGGGGGCUGCCGUGUGCGCUGUAGGACAACAGCAUCGCUGAACUCCACGCACCAGCAGCGCCCUCCUGGCCCCAGCUGGGACAACUGAAACUGUCUCCAGACACUGUCACAUUUCUCCAUGGCCAAAAUCACCCCUUCAUGAAAACUAUCACUUUCACUAAAAAGACUGAAAACAUCUUAAGCACAAGUUGGCGGCUUACACUGUUUAAAACCACGCCUAAUAUCCUACUGACCCAUGACUUCUGACCCGCCAACAUGUAAGAGUACACACAUUUAGAUACAUUUCAUGACAAUGUAAGGUGUUCGCAACGUCUCGCCUCUUCCCAGUGCAGGAGGAAAACACUAUGGCGAACACGCAGCAAGGAUGGCGGUGAUGAUAAACAGCACAGCCGCGCAGAGCAUGUGACUUUCCACAAAACACUCUCACACAGAGUCCCAGCCUAUUGUUUGGCCGCACUUCCCAAAUUAUUUUAAAUCUGCAUCCACAAUUUAUAACAUUAAAAAAAAAAAACAGGCCGGGGAUUUAGCUCAGUGGUUUCGCCACCUGCUGUGCAAGAGCAAGGACACCAGUUCGAUCCCCGGUACCAGAAAAUAAAAUAAAAUGAAAUUUUAAAAACCCAGGCUGUGCCUGCCCGGGCCCCGCUGCAAGUCACCUUGGGUCGCUUGAAGAACUGACAGUAUGAAGCACUCAGAUCCUGGAAAAACACUCAAAUGCUCACAAAAGAGGAGGCAGGAAAUGUUUCCGCCUAGGAACAAGGGGGGAGCCUGAGGCUCUCAUUACACAGCUUGGCCCAACCCUGCAUCUUUCUCUCUCCUUCUCUGUCAACAGCGUCAGGAGAAUGUCAACAGUGAACAGAUUCUUCUUGUGCAGCAGUAAACACAGCCUAACUUGAGAAAUAAAGUUUACAGCGUUGUCUAUGAUAAUGUAUGAAGACUCUCCUCAAUUUGGGGGGUUUUUCCAUUUUUAUUUGGCAAAUCUGCAGUUCUAGGGACCUAGAAAUCCAAUUCUGCCACUGACCCACCAAACCUAAGAAAACCUCCCCCAGGUUAUCUUUCUGUCUUUCAGCGCAGAAACAAAAUUCCUGUGGUGUAAACUGACAGAAUCACGCAAGUCAGCAUAGCAGACGAAGGAAUCACACAGGCUUUGGGAAGGGACCAUUCACUCUAACAAAGGACCUUCUUGAAAACCAGCAAACGGGUGACUAACUUCAGGGAAGAUAAUUCAGUGGCCUGUUGUACUUACCUGGGGAACAACGUCCUCGAAGACUAGAAAUCCAAGCAUACUAUUUUGGGUUCUUAAACACCAUCAUAUAACCCAACACUUGGAAUCUUUCUUGGCCCCAAAAGACUGUGAAAAUGCUGCGUGGCCUUUUAAUAAUAAUAAACAAUGCACAUUCUGGUUUUAUUCACAAAACUAAUUAGCAGCAGCUGCUACUGACACAGGAUUUUUUUUUUUCUAACAAAGUAUUUUACAUACAGAAGUAUUCUCCCUUUAAAGAAAAUAGGGUAAAACAUAACUAUUAACAUCUACAUUACUUUAACUGCUGAAAAAAGAGACAACUAUUUUCCUAGACUCAAAGGAGGUAGCUGCACACAUCUGUCAACUACACAUCUCUGGAACAGGAGAGAAACUUAGGGCUUUCAUACCG